GACGGAGGGUGCGAGCGCUAAUCGGAAUUACUGGGGGUAAAGAGCAUCUAGGCGGCCGAACAAGUCAGGUGUGAAAUCCUCGGGCUUAACCUGGGAAGUGCACUUGAUACUGUCCGGCUAGAGUUUGGCAGAGGAAAGUAGAAUUCCCGGUGUAGCGGUGAAAUGCGUAGAUAUCGGGAGGAAUACCAGUGGCGAAGGCGGCUUUCUGGGGCAAUACUGACGCUGAGGUGCGAAAGCGUGGGGAGCAAACAGG
rnacentral:rRNA from 1 species